rnacentral:tRNA from 3 species
GCGCUCUUAGCUCAGCUGGAUAGAGCACUUGAUUGCGGUUCAAGAGGUCAGAGAUUCGAAUUCUCUAGGGCGUACCA